CAACCAACUCGAUGUUCAGACGAUGGAAACUAACACUUAUGUCUUUCAUAAUAAUAAUAAUAUAUUAGGACUAAUCACACAGAUUGAGCUAGCCCCAAACGGUGGUGGUGCAAUGAUUAAGAUGCCCGGCUGUAGAUUCUCUCGUACCACACGAAUUUGUAUACCAAUCUGACUCAUAUGCCGAAGGUCGUGUAAAGUGGAACCAAUAUAAAUUCGCAAAUUGGGCUCUGUCUUUUAAUACAAGAGGAAGUAACGAAUGCAUCACAAAAGCGGAGUCGCGGACCAUCAAGACAGAACAUUUUUACGACAGUUUCAACAAAAUUACAUAGAUUCCUUUUAAAGCUUCAAUAAUAUCUGGGAAUUCUAUAAUCCAUUGCUCUAAAGGAAAACAGAUAAAAAGUUUUCUGAAAAGAAAAGCCUUGUCAAAAUCUUCCCUAAAGAUGGGUCAUAUUAAAAACGAAAAUAAUUCAACAACAAAUAUCUCUCUCUCUCUCACAUACAUCUGCGCGUUUUCCCAGUUCCCAAACCUGCCGUCGAGGCUGAUGAAGCAACCGGGACAACAUACAACCUAGUAUAUAUGCAGCUGAAAUAAAU